rnacentral:rRNA from 1 species
GGAGGGGGUUUAGCGUUGUCCGGAAUUACUGGGCGUAAAGCGCACGUAGGCGGACUGAUCAGUUAGAGGUGAAAUCCCGGGGCUCAACCCCGGAACUGCCUUUAAUACUGUCAGUCUAGAGAUCGAGAGAGGUGAGUGGAAUUCCAAGUGUAGAGGUGAAAUUCGUAGAUAUUUGGAGGAACACCAGUGGCGAAGGCGGCUCACUGGCUCGAUACUGACGCUGAGGUGCGAAAGCGUGGGGAGCAAACAGGGAUUAGAUACCCUGGUAGUCCACGCCGUAAACGAUGAGAGCUAGACGUCGGGCAGCAUGCUGUUCGGUGUCGCAGUUAACGCAUUAAGCUCUCCGCCUGGGGAGUACGGUCGCAAGAUUA